GUAGGUGGGCAAGCGUUGUACCGGAAUUAUUGGGCGUAAAGCGCGCGCAGGCGGGGGCCUUUAAGGUCUGAUGUGAAAGGCCCACGGGCUCAACCGUGGAGGGUCAUUGGAAACUGGGGGACUUGAGUACAGAAGAGGAAAGCGGAAUUCCAAGUGUAGCGGUGAAAUGCGUAGAGAUUUGGAGGAACACCAGUGGCGAAGGCGGCUUUCUGGUCUGUAACUGACGCUGAGGCGCGAAAGCGUGGGGAGCAAACAGGAUUAGAUACCCUGGUAGUCCACGCCGUAAACGAUGAGUGCUAAGUGUUAGGGGGUUUCCGCCCCUUAGUGCUGCAGCUAACGCAUUAAGCACUCCGCCUGGGGAGUACGGCCGCAAAGGCUG
rnacentral:rRNA from 1 species